rnacentral:rRNA from 1 species
UACGUAGGGCGCAAGCGUUAUCCGGAAUUAUUGGGCGUAAAGAGCUCGUAGGCGGUUUGUCGCGUCUGCCGUGAAAGUCCGGGGCUCAACUCCGGAUCUGCGGUGGGUACGGGCAGACUAGAGUGAUGUAGGGGAGACUGGAAUUCCUGGUGUAGCGGUGAAAUGCGCAGAUAUCAGGAGGAACACCGAUGGCGAAGGCAGGUCUCUGGGCAUUAACUGACGCUGAGGCGCGAAAGUGUGGGGAGCGAACAGG